UACCUCCCUUGAGGUGAGGAAUACCACCGAGAAAUCAGUGACAAGACCGCAUACGCUUGGCGACAAGCAAAGUUUCUCUUCGGAGAGACGCCACAAGAUGGGCCUGCGCCUGAUUAGCUGGUUGGUGGGGUAAUAGCUCACCAAGGCUUCGAUCAGUAGCUGGUCUGAGAGGAUGAUCAGCCACACUGGGAUUGAGAACGGCCCAG
rnacentral:rRNA from 1 species